rnacentral:rRNA from 1 species
AUUGAACGCUGGCGGCAUGCUUUACACAUGCAAGUCGAACGGUAACAGGCCUUCGGGUGCUGACGAGUGGCGAACGGGUGAGUAAUGCAUCGGAACGUGCCCAGAGGUGGGGGAUAACGCAGCGAAAGCUGUGCUAAUACCGCAUGUGAUCUGAGGAUGAAAGCGGGGGACCAGGCAGCAAUGUUUAGCCUCGCGCCUUUGGAGCGGCCGAUGUCAGAUUAGGUAGUUGGUGGGGUAAAGGCCUACCAAGCCGACGAUCUGUAGCUGGUCUGAGAGGACGACCAGCCACACUGGGACUGAGACACGGCCCAGACUCCUACGGGAGGCAGCAGUGGGGAAUUUUGGACAAUGGGCGCAAGCCUGAUCCAGCAAUGCCGCGUGCGGGAAGAAGGCCUUCGGGUUGUAAACCGCUUUUGUACGGAACGAAAAGGCUCUGGCUAAUACCUGGGGCUGAUGACGGUACCGUAAGAAUAAGCACCGGCUAACUACGU